rnacentral:rRNA from 1 species
UACGUAUGGUGCAAGCGUUAUCCGGAUUUACUGGGUGUAAAGGGAGCGUAGACGGAAAAGCAAGUCUGGAGUGAAAGCCCGGGGCUCAACCCCGGGACUGCUUUGGAAACUGUUAUUCUUGAGUGCCGGAGAGGUAAGCGGAAUUCCUAGUGUAGCGGUGAAAUGCGUAGAUAUUAGGAGGAACACCAGUGGCGAAGGCGGCUUACUGGACGGUAACUGACGUUGAGGCUCGAAAGCGUGGGGAGCAAACAGG